AGUCGUAACAAGGUUUCCGUAGGUGAACCUGCGGAAGGAUCAUUAUUGAAUCUAAAACAUCCAUGGGACCGCUUAAAGCGUGACGACCGGGCAACCGGCUGUCGCGUCGCGGCGGUCCUUACACCCCUUGUGAACCGGUAAUCACUCUCUCCUUGUGCUAGUAGUUCUCUUUCACUAGAGGACGAAAGCGCGGGGAGAGGGACCAAUUUAGUUAAACCUGUUUGUCGUGCUCUGUCUAUUGCAUAAGCGAUUAUGCUCUAGUACGUGUCUAAUUUGGAGGUAGAGAGUUUCUUUCUUGUCCAAAAGCACUGCUAUUGCAUGGUUAAUAUCAUUUAUUAAUUAUACAAUACAACUUUUAACAAUGGAUCUCUUGGCUCUC
rnacentral:misc_RNA from 1 species